GUAAACCCUCGAGCAUGUCCUGUGCAAACCAGGUUGGCUUCAGGAAACACAAAGAGAAAGAGAAGUCCAGGGAAUGGAGAAUGUCAGGGAACGUCAGAGCUGUCUCAUCAGAGCUGUCGCCAUGGUUCCCCGGCAAUGAGGAAAGUGAGGUCUUCACGUUGCCACCUGCUUCUCCCACUGCUUCAGCCUCCCUGAGAAGGACUCCAGCAGCAGCAUGGCGAUACCAGUGGAAAGCAGAGAUGGGAGGAGCUGGAGGAAGUGYGUGGGAUAAAAUUAAAAGAGAGCUAAACAUCUGUUCAACUUCAGUGGGUUGAGUGUCUCUACCAUGACCGUUAUCUGCUGCUUCAGAUUAGGAGGUUCAACAUACACCCCUUUGGAGACACAGCCUUACUUGAAGUCUGCUGUAUUCUGCCUGAAGUCUGGCUGUAUUCUUUCACUCUGAUUUUGACACCACUUACUCAUAUUAUCUUACUAUGAAGAAACUUAAAUAGAGAAAAUAGAUCCAUUUAACUGCCUUGUUUCCUGAUGUUGCGCCCGGGCUGCUAUUCAAUUUUUGAUACCUGGGACACAAAGAUGUGACUGGCUGAUUGGACUGCGAGGGAAACAAAAGUCUAUUAACUGAACAUGGGUUUCAGGAAAGCCUCUACUUGUGUUUCUCAGCAUAAACUGUUCUGCAGUGUUUAGUUUUACUGCAUUCUGCUGCUGCAUGAUGAUCAAUCUUUUGUGGCUGGCGAAGUGAGUCCUUUGAGGUUUGAAAACACCUUUGAAAUCAUUUGAGACAAAUAAAGCAACAAAUAAGUAUGAAUAUGUUCA
rnacentral:lncRNA from 1 species